CCAGCCGUAAACUAUGGAUACUAGGUGUUGGCGGUUCAGACCGUCAGUGCCGAAGCUAACGUGAUAAGUAUCCCGCCUGGGGAGUACGGUCGCAAGACUGAAACUCAAAGGAAUUGACGGGGGCCCGCACAAGCGGUGGAGCAUGUGGUUUAAUUCGAAGCAACGCGAAGAACCUUACCAGGGCUUGACAUCCCUUGAUCGCCAUAGAGAUAUGGUAUCUUCUUUGAAGCAAGGAGACAGGUGG
rnacentral:rRNA from 1 species